CCCCCACUCAUACUCUGUCUCUCUGCCCAUCUCUCAAAAAGAAAUAAACAUUAAAAAAAAUUUCUUGCAGGCGUUUAAACAUCCAACCUCUUCUAUUUAGCAUAAUAUAUUAUUUACGAUAACCUUGAAAUCCUCGAUGGAUUAUGGGGUAGCUAGCCUCCAAGAUAGCUCAAUGAUCCUCAUCUCAUGGUAUUCAUGCCCUUUCUGUGUUCCCUUCCUACAUGGCUUCCUACAAUACAAUACUGUGGAAGCGACAUAUGUGACUUUCAAGGCUAAGUCAUAAACAGACAUUGCAGCUUCCACCUUGGUGUGCCUCUUGGAUCACUUGCUUUGAGGGAAGGCAGCUGUCAUAUCAUGGUGACACUCAAGCAGCUCUAUGGCAGGAUCCAUGUGGUGAGGAACUAGGGCCUUCCACCAAGAGCCAGCACCGACUUGCCAGAAUUUGAGUUUGUGCACAUGAGUCACCUUGCAGUACAAGGUGACCAACCCUAGCCGAGCUUUCAGAAAACUGCAGCCCCCGUUGACAUCUUAACUACAACCUCAUGAGAGACCUUCGGCUCAGAACCACCUAGCUAAGCUGCUUCUGAGUUCUUGACCCACAGGAACUGUGUGAGAGAAUAAAUGUUUACUGUUGUUUUAAGUCGCUACAUUUGGGGGCGGUUCGUUAUGCAUCCGUAGGUACCGAAUGCAGAUUAGAAAUUCCUUGAAAGUAGGAUUCAUGAGUUCUACCUAUUGUACUUCAAGUUACGGCAUCACCUCCCUUCCUACUUCCGCCUUGGAGAUUAGAGCAUACUGAAAUAUCUGGCAAAAUAUGGGAGGUGAAAUGACAUUCCCCUUGAAAUUCAGUAUGACACAUCUGAAUGAGGAAAACCAAGAUGUCAAUCGGUCCAUUCUGACCAUUUUUUUUUUAUUUCUGAGGGUAUUUACGAGUCCCCAGGGUGGAGGUGAGGAUAAAGGAGUAGAACUCAGGUCUCAGGAUGAGUAUUGUUAUUUGUCAUUCUGGAAUCCCCCAGAAUUCUCCGUUCUCAGUUUGGGAGUGGAAUAUGUUCUUAGGCCUGGGUAUAUAGGGAAGCUUUGGUAAAUGGGGAGUUUCCAGUAUCCUCUGGAAACUUCCAGUAUCCAGAGGAUACUGGAAACUCACCUGGACAAAGGAAGUGAGAUAGUGCCUGGGGCGGGGGAAGGUGAAGUGUUGGCUCUCUUCACAGGAUCACUUCAGGCACAAGUCCUUGCCCAGGGACCAGGUGAACAUUGCACAGGCAGCCAGAACCAAUGGCCAGCCCACUGUGAAUCUGCAUCAGCAGGAAGGAGCUUGAGUGAGGAGGGGCAGCUCUGUAGGCAAUGGAGCAGAGAUCAGAGACAGACUUGCACUGGGCCCAGACUCAGUAUGUAGCAAUACAGUUGUCCCUUCUUAUCUGCAGGGGAUAUCUCCCUGGAUACCUGAAACUUAGACGGUACUGAACCCUAUACCUACUUUGUUUUUUCCUAUACACACAUACCUAUGAUAACAUUUAGUUUGUAAAUUAGGCACAGUAAGAGAUUAACAAGAGCAGUAAGACAAUCAUAAUGAUAUAUUGUGACGAAAGUUAUAAACGUGAUUUCUUUUUCAAAAUAUCUCUGUGCUGUACUCCUCCUCCUUCUUACGAUGAUCAUAUGAGAUAAUGCCUCCGUGAUGAGAUACAGAGAGGUGAAUGACAUCGGUUACUACUGACCUUCUGACAUCUUGUCUGAGGCUCCUCUGCUUCUGGACCGCGGCUGACCGCAAGUAACUCAAACUGUAGAAAGUGAAACUGCAGACGGUGGGGGAGGAAUGCUGCACAAAGGAUAUUACCUAGAUGAGCAUCACUUUAUUUUUGACACAAUAGUUUUAGAUUCUUUGAGUUACAAGGUUGACUAGGGCCUCCAGCCUUCUCAGUACACAGAAGACUAGGAGGUCUGUGGACUUCACAUCCCUGUGGCGGUGGACGUCCAGUGUGGGAACAGAGGUAGCACGAGUAGGGACACUAGGAACUCAGAACUUUCACUUCCCCUCCCCGCCCCCCCCAGUACAUGGUUCCCUUAGUUUAGACACAGCUUAUGCCUGGGGUCACACAGGGUUCUGUGGGUGCUAUAUGGGUCACCCUCAACAAGGGAAAGUCAAUCACUGCUCAAAACAAAAUAGCAGAUAUUAGAGGAGGAAGAUAUUCUAGAUACUGUCUAGUCCAAUGUCCUCAUUUUACAGAUAAGGAAACCAAGGCCCAGAGAAAUGAAGUAACUUGCCCAAGGUCAUACAGCUAACGUGGGACAGAAUCCAAGUAUCUUUAUUCCAAGUUAGUUCCUUCCACCAUGCCACGUUUGCCUUCCACUCUACGAAUUCCCGUGUAUCCCACUCCCAUUUAUCCUAACACUCAACCUCAAGUUCUGGGUUAUAUUCAGAAGGUCCAUUUCUAGACUUUUCUUUUCCAAUGGAAGGGCAAAGAUGAAGAGCUUCUGCUAUGGUUUUCAGAUAGAAUGCUACCCCCUUUGCCUGCCUCCCUUUCUCCUGUCGCUCUCAGUGACGAACUGAAUCUAUUUCUCCAUAUGCAGGAGGUUCUCGCAGAAGUUCUGGGCUCCAUUCAGUCUGUGGCAGGGGAAGCGGAUGGGCACAAUGCCCUGGGAUGCCCUCCAGUUUGGCAGGCUGAUCGUAUCCAACUGAUGGUCAUGGCCUGGUGCCCACUGGUAGGGAGGGUGCCCACCCAUGCCUUUACUUGGUGCCUGGCAUAUCCACAGAUGCCACAUGGCUGGCGGGAUACCUAUGCUGCAUCUUGUCUGAUUUGCUGGUCCUGGUUUGUGUCACUUUUAGAUUUGUGUAUAUAUAUGGCAGAAUUUUAGAAGCAUGGUCUCUCCAUGGGUUUAAGAUGCUGGCAUUUCUAGACCGGCAGGCAGGACACCUCACUGCCAACCUAGGAUCUGUGUUACACAGCCCAGACCUGGACGUCAGGAAACUCCUUCAAAUGUCUCUGUGAUCCCCUUCUUCCCAUCCUUCUGCUACCUGAGAGUUCUUUGUAUCCCUCCUUCCCAGCCUCGUAUCAGAAGCUGAGAGGUCCUAGUGUGAGGUCAAAGUCUCCAAGAAAGGGAAGGAAGAAAACGGGGUGUAAAUAGGUUUAGGUAAGUGGGGACUGGGAAGCAACAAAGGUACCUUGCUUAUUCUCUCUCUCAGGCUUCAGAAGACUCUGGAAGCUGCUUGUUGCCCAGUAUUUUCCACUGCAACCCCAGGCAGACUUAGACUGCAUCUCUACCUGCUGGACACCAAGGAGAUCGACAACCCUGCUUUUAGCUUUCUCUUUGGAAUAUGGAGAGUAAAACUUCACUAAUACUCCACCUUUAUUCCAAGGACUGUUUGUGGCAGCUUCCUGAUCCCUGGAUUGUAGCUACGGCGCUAUGUUCUCAAACUCAGUAUUUCAGCGGCCAUCGGAGACUGCAGCUCCCCAGGGAGGCAGCUGACAUGUUGUGAAGACACUCAGAUUUCUGCCAACAACCAACACUGAUCUGCCAAGCGAGUAAGCGAGCCACCUUAGAAGCAAAACCUCCAACCUCGGUCAAGUGUACAGGAAACUGCAGCACGGGCUGACAUCUUGACUGCAAUCACAUAAAAGACCCCAAACCAGGAUCACCCGCCUAAGUCACUCCUUACCCAUAGAAACUGUGAAGAAGAAACAUCAGUUUUGGUACAACAUGAACCCUAACUCACAGGAGAUCCACCUGCUUCGCUGUCCAGAGGAAGCGAAUGAACUGGAAGGCAUCAGGCCAAUUACUCAUUCGGUCUCUGCAAUCCAUUUUGAAUCCCAGUUUCCUAUUGAUAUUAUGCCUUGAAUGUCAGGGAUGACUUCCUCCUAGGCAAAAUUAAUAGCUUUUUUAUUGGUCCCCAAAUUUGCCCAUGGUAUUUGAUGUCAGUGGUCACCCCAACUUGAGCACAUUCUUUUGGUUUCUGCGAUCCUGUACUUUCCUGUUAUUAACCAGGGCCAGGGCUAGGGUGAAGAAAGCGAAGUGCUCAGAAUGCAAAAUUCAAGGAGGCACUCACUCUCAGGGUCAUGUGAGUGUAAUGUGUUCACACUGAACAUGUUUUUGGCUAGUCAAGACCAACUGUAUUUAGCACAAUGAAAAGAAUAAAAGCAUUUUGCUUUUAUUUCACUUACUGUUUUUCCACGGCAGAACAUACGGCAGAGACUUGGGAACACGCAUGCCUGAAGCCAGGUUACUCUUAUGUUCCAUAACUAUGUUGCUUGCAGGGCUGCAAAAAGAAAGACAAAUUUGCCUAUGCCCGCCUAUCUGUAUUCUCCAGGCAGGCACACACAAGACCAUCAAAAAUGUGUUUUUUGUAAUUUGGGGGAAAACAGCAAACUACAUUCUGAAAUGUAAACACAUUUCCAUCAAAACAUUCUUGCAAUUAGAAUGAUUACUACUUCUCUGAAAAGCUCACUGUUCUGUAAAAGCAUUAAGAUGGGUCUGACCAUUUUCAUUUUCCAGAAAUUGAGAUAAACAGCAAUGCCAUCUACUGUUCGGUUGUGUGACAGGCUCAUCAACUCACUCAACAAAUACGAGAGAUAAAAUGCCAAGACAACCAAACCAAAGGCAACACAUCUCAUAGGACGGAGGGAAAAUUAAAACUGUGCUAUUAAAAUUCAUCUUCAAGUUCUUCUAUUUUAGUGCACACACACAAUAAGGUACACGUGCAAUUGUUAACUCAUCUUAGGAGCUAAGAAAUAAAAAUUGAUAAGCAUUCUAUUUGGG